rnacentral:misc_RNA from 1 species
ACCCAAUACUUUUGACCAAAGUUUCAAGCGUUUGAAGCGGCUGGUUGUUGGAAUGUAAAACGGAACGAUAUCGAUCAUGACAUCCCCGGUACCGGACCCGACGUCGAGACAGCGCUCCGAAAAUUUGGCCAAUUCAUCUUUGAAUUCUUCGACGAUUCUUCCAGUGCACUCCCGUUGAAGGCUAUUGGCCUUUCUGUACGCCGCUGCUUGAUGCAUGAUGUCCGAAUUCACUCCACUCGGGAAAAAAUACCGGGGCAGGUAUGGAAAAAAAACUUAUUUCGUAAUUCGAAUUUUAGAAAAAUUCAAGAUAUCGCUAAUCGCGAAUUUGGUUCGAAAUAUUGUAAACUCUGCUAUUACGUGAAGCGAAGUCACACGAUAUUCUACGUCUAACAACACAACGCGUGAUCUCUCUUAUAAUGGUACUGAUCUUAGAUAUCAGAUUUUGGAAUAGACUUGACCGUUAAUAUUUGUAAAAUCAAACGCAUGCGCACCUACAAAAUCCUGCAAAUAGUGCGAAGUUGAUUACUACCGUAAUAUCUCUUAUAAUCGGUGAAGGAUUUUAGACACGUUGGAUUACAUCACCAUCGGGUCCGGAAUUAACGUCAUAACCAGAUUACCGUGAACCAGUAAAAUACUCCUAUAGGUGUAAUGACGAUGUCAGCGAUAUCGUUUUUCCCACUUCAUGGCCAGGCUUUAGCCGAAAUUUUGAAUUCAAUCCAUCUUUUGCUGUUAGUCACCUUCGUCCUCGCCUCCGUCACAGAACUCACAGAAACUUCCAAUGCAAUCCACCACAAAUCUACAACUCCGAUAUUUUCUCCAUUCACCCGCUAAACAUAUGUCGCCAAUAAUUUCUGAUUUCUUUCAAAAUGAAACGUGACCCAUGCAUAUCUUAUCAUUCAGGAUCGAUUUUAGUCGUAGCAUUAUAUUAUUCGUUCAACGGAUGCGUGUUCAUGGGGUCAAAAUACAUUAGAAUAGUUCCAUACAAUCGAUU